AUGACCACCGACCUUAGCAUGAGCACUUCCGGCCAGGAUUCUCGGUUCGGACACCUCUUCCCGGCUAGGGAGCUGGCCUCUGCCGGCCUGGGCCGACCAGGGUUUUUGUCCGGACGUGUGUCACUGUGUGGUGCAUUCGGCGGGGGAACGCAACUCACCGUCCUUGGUCAGCCCAAGGCAUCUCCCACCGUGAAUAUGUUCGCUCCGUCCUCCGCUGAGCUGGACUCCAAAAAGGCCACCCUGGUGUGCCUCAUGGGCGGCUUCUACCCGGGUUCUGUGACCGUGACCUGGAAGGCGGAUGGCGCCACCGUGUCUGAGGGCGUGGAGACCACCAAGCCCUCCAAGCAGACGGACAACAAGUACAUGGCCAGCAGCUACCUGACCCUGACCCCGGCCCAGUGGAAGGCGAAGAACAGCUACACCUGCCAGGUCACCCACGACGGGAAGGUCUUCGAGAAGUCCGUGUCCCCAUCCGAGUGCUCUUAGGCACAACUCCCCACCCCCGUCCCCCACCCUGUACACUUGUCACUCAGACCCCUCCAGCAGCCUGGCUGACCCCCAUCCCAUUACCCCUUAGCCUAAGGGGGAUACCCUCCCUUCGGUCUCCCACCUCUGCACCUUCACUCGGGCUCUGGUUGGCUAAGGCUGGGAAUGGACUUCCUGUCACUGUGGUCUUCCUUUCUGGGGCCGCACGGAAACCCCCUCCUUCAAUAAAAGACUCUUCCCUUUCUCAACCAA